AUGGCCAUAUCAUUUUGAAACACCAGUGUUCGUAUGAUCACCAAAGUUAAGCAAUGUUGAGCUUGGUCAGUACCUAGAUGGGUGACUGGUUAGGAAUACUAGGUGCUGUAAG